GAUGAAGAACGUAGCGAAAUGCGAUAAGUAAUGUGAAUUGCAGAAUUCAGUGAAUCAUCGAGUCUUUGAACGCACAUUGCGCCCCCUGGUAUUCCGGGGGGCAUGCCUGUCCGAGCGUCAUUGCUGCCCUCAAGCACGGCUUGUGUGUUGGGCCUCCGUCCUCCUCCCGGGGGACGGGCCCGAAAGGCAGCGGCGGCACCGCGUCCGGUCCUCGAGUGUAUGGGGCUUCGUCACCCGCUCUUGUAGGCCCGGCCGGCGCUUGCCGACACAUCAAUCUUUUUUCCAGGUUGACCUCGGAUCAGGUAGGGAUACCCGCUGAACUUAAGCAUAUCAAUAAGCGGAGGA
rnacentral:misc_RNA from 1 species